rnacentral:rRNA from 1 species
UUACGGCUCAGUAACACGUGGUCAACCUGCCCGAAGGACAGCAAUAACCGCGGGAAACUGCGCUAAUGGCUGGUAGAUGAGGUGCCCUGGAACUGGGCCCUCCUUGAAAAGAUCUCGGCGCGAUCCUUGUCGAGAUUGCCUUCGGAUGGGACUACGUCCGAUCAGGUAGUUGGCGGGGCAACGGCCCACCAAGCCUGAGACCGGUACGGGCCCUGAGAGGGGUAGCCCGGAGAUGGGGACUGAGACAAGGCCCUAGGCCCUACGGGGCGCAGCAGGGGCGCAAAUUCUACAAUGCGCGAAAGCGUGAUAGAGUCAUCCCAGGUGUCUUCCGCUGAGGAAGACUUUUCCUUAGUGCAAACAGCUAGGGGAAUAAGGGGGGGGCAAGCCGGGUGUCAGCCGCCGCGGUAAGACCCGCUCCCCGAGUGGUGAGGGUGAUUACUGGGCUUAAAGCGUCCGUAGCCGGCCCUGCAAGUCUCCCGUCAAAUCCAGCGGCCUAACCGUUGGGCUGCGGGAGAUACUGCAUGGCUUGGAGGCGGAAGAGGUCACGGGUAGUCCUCGGGUAGGGGCGGAAUCCUCUGAUCCGAGGAGGACCACCAGUGGCGAAGGCGCGUGGCCAGGACGCGCUCGACGGUGAGGGACGAAAGCUGGGGGAGCGAACCGGAUUAGAUACCCGGGUAGUCCCAGCUGUAAACGAUGCGGACUAGGCGUCGGGGUGGGGAAGGCCUGCCCCGGUGCCGCAGGAAAACCAUUAAGUCCGCCGCCUGGGUAGUACGGCCGCAAGGCUGAAUCGUUCGCGAGAAAUGUACUCGCAACGCAGCUGACUUAAAGGAAUUGGCGGGGGAGCAC